AUCCACGUCUGCUGUGUCUCCUGUAUUGGCAGGCAGAUUCUUUUAUCGUUGCACCACUUGGAAGUCCUCUCUGAUACAUAGAAGUUUUAAAUUUUGAUGUAGUCUCAUUUACCUUCUUUUAUUGUCUGUGCCUUCAUUGCCAAGUCCAUCCAAAAUGGUUGUUUUUAACCACUCCUGUGUGUCAACAAUGCUGCUGACAACUUUGGGUGGGUAGGAGGGAUGGGGGAAGACAGUUUGCAGUGGUUGAGGAAAUGAGGAAGAGUUUAGCCAGGAGAGUGGGGGUGAUGGUUGUUGUGGGAGCAGCGGUCGUGGUAUUCCACUUACAGAAGAGCUUUUCAUGGGCCAGACUGAUAACCCAGAGGGCAGGAUGGGCCCAGUGGGAGGCCCAGGGAGUCAAAUAGCAGCUCAGUCUUAACAGGAUUCCAAAGAUUGAAUGGGGGUACUUUGUAGGUAGUGAGCUCCCCAUCACUGGAGGAAUGCAAGCACUCAGAUGACCACUCAGGUAGGAUACUGCCAGGGGCUUCAGGCACAUGAUAUUAAGAUUGGGUUGAUGGCCUCUGAUCCCUUUGGUUAUUCAGUAGGGAAGGAGGGAACUCAAACUUUAGCCAGUGGGGUAGACACCUGGCCCCAGCAGACACCUAAACCAGCCCAGGGUAGACAGGAUUUCAGCUGACAGAUGUCCUCUGUUUUGUGCCUGAGGUACGUCCUGUAAUUUGGGGUUGAGAUGUGGAGAAGAUUCCCUGAGUUCCCGUCACUCUGGAGCCUGAACCCAAGCUCUGACCCAGAUGGCCCAAGUAUCUGGAAGAGGAGAAGACAGGUGACGAUGUGGCACCUUCAUGGCCUGCGAGGUGCUGCUUGCCAGCAGAAUGGGGAAAACACAGACUUCUGGGCCUGGCAGACCUUGGUUCAGGGUUUUCUGCAGAAUGAUGAUAACAGGUGCUUGGAGCCAGGCAGCUGCUCAAUAACUGCUCAUCAUCACCGUCCAAAGCCAAUGACCCUGAGUGGGCUGUACAACCCCCACCCUCUGUUGCCGCUUCCUGCUCUUCUUUGCCACAAGCAGCUCCUCUGAUCUGGGUGGAUCUCAGCCCCACUUCCUUCUGAGGUUGGGAGUCCAGAGUCCUGGAUCCAGAACGCAGCCUGGCCCCAGCAGACACCCAAGCCGGCCCAGGGGCCCUCUCGGCCCAGGAGGCUGGGGCCGGGUGGCAGCCUGAUCGCCUAUCUGUUGGUCCUCUGUCUUGGCCUGUCCUCGAGGCUGCUGGCCCUGGAGCCUCCCCGCCGCUCAUUGCCCAGUCCCUCCCUGCCCUGUAAGCUGUGUCUGUCCCCAUCUCCUAGCGUGCUGCACCCAGAGAGCUCCCGCAUCACCCCCAGCUCAGCACCCCUCGUUGGGGCAAAAACUCAAAUCUCAUUAAAGGUCGUUGAUUUUCCGCCAAA
ensembl:lncRNA